rnacentral:rRNA from 1 species
AUUGAACGCUGGCGGCAGGCUUAACACAUGCAAGUCGAGCGAGCGGCGGACGGGUGAGUAAUGUCUGGGAAACUGCCUGAUGGAGGGGGAUAACUACUGGAAACGGUAGCUAAUACCGCAUACCAUCAGAUGUGCCCAGAUGGGAUUAGCUCGUAGGUGGGGUAACGGCUCACCUAGGCGACGAUCCCAAGCGGGUCUGAGAGGAGGACCAGCCACAUUGGAGCUGAGACACGGUCCAGAGUCCUACGAGAGGACGCAGUGGGGAAUAUUGCACAAUGGGCGCAAGUCUGAGGCAGCCAUGCCGCGUGUAUGAAGAAGGCCUUCGGGUUGUAAAGUACUUCCAGCGAGGAGGCGUUACUCGCAGAAGAAGCACCGGCUAACUCCGUGCCAGCAGCCGCGGUAAUUC